UACGUAGGGUCCGAGCGUUGUCCGGAAUUAUUGGGCGUAAAGAGCUCGUAGGCGGUCUGUUGCGUCCGCUGUGAAAACUCGGGGCUUAACCCCCGAGCCUGCAGUGGAUACGGGCAGACUAGAGGUAGGUAGGGGAGAAUGGAAUUCCCGGUGUAGCGGUAAAAAUGCGCAGAUAUCAGGAGGAACACCGGUGGCGAAGGCGGUUCUCUGGGCAUUACCUGACGCUGAGGAGCGAAAGUGUGGGGGAGCGAACAGG
rnacentral:rRNA from 1 species